UUUCACUUGCUUUUGGUUCAAUUGUCUUUCAAUGUUGUCUAUUUUAAUUGUGAUUAAAUUUUAAUUUUUAAAUUUGUUUCAUUGUUCAAAUUGAUGAUUAAGGUAUGUAUAAGUGUUGGUGGCUGAAUAGUUUAAUGAGGAAAAAGGAGCUAUCUUCUGGUAGGCUUCAUAAUAGAUGCCUUUUUUUGUUCAUUUGACUAUCUCUCAUUGCUUUUCGUCCAUCAACAUUUAGUAAUUAUUGAGGUGAUAAAACUAAGCAAGGUUCACGAAAGAGAAAGAAGGAAGGAAGAAGAAGAAGGUAAAAACAAAGUGUAAUGACCAAUGUUGAAGGUUAAGUUAAAUUUUGUACGUCCAACAUCAUCUUGCCUGGCUUGUUUCUGUUAUCUUACCGCCGAGUCUGUGAGUCUUUUCACUUAAUGUUUAGAGAGUAAAAAAAAGUUUCGAGUUUGAAGCCCAUCGAUGAGCAAAGUUAAAGGAGAGUUUCAUUAGGAGAGUUUUUACAAGGAAAAUAUUUACAAAGAAAGGAAAUAUCUCAUUCUCUUUUUCAUCUUCAUCAUCAUCACUACCGUCAUCAGUGUCUUAAAAAGAGGAAAAAAAAGGUAGAAGAUUACAACUGGUCAUAGUUGUGCUGGGACUAUGAAAAAAGAGCUUGACUUCGUUGGUCAUAAAUUAAAGAUGUAUAUCAUUAUCAUUUUGCUCAAGGUAAUUGGAUUAUUGUUGUUCUUACAUUCUUCAACACUGGAAAAGUGUCUCUUUAAUAGGUGACACUCCAUUGAAACCUUAUUAUCAUCAUCAUCACCAUAAUCAACAUGAUUCAACAACAAUUGCAAAAAUCUAUUUCACCUGAUAUUCUACUUUACUUUUACUAUUAUAAAACUGUAAAAUCUCACGUACUGAAAACCCUAGAAGCACAGUUUUCACAUGGAAAUAGAAAAAUUGUUAUGCAAAAUAAUAAGAAUGCCCGGCAGGCCUUAUUUUCACCCGAGCCCUGUUUAAGAAUCAAAGAGUGCUUCAAUCAUUAUUGCUUCUUACCCUUUCUCCAUGUUCCGUUGUGUAUCAAAAGGUAAAGAUGGAAACAGUAAAAGGAUGAAUUGAAAAGUAAAUUGGAAAGGAACAGUUAAGAGUGAGAGAAAAAAAGAGUAAAAAGAAAUGCUAAAACCAUGAAAUCAAUCUCAUAUUCAUAUUCAGUAUAUCUCAUCUUUAGUUAUAGAUACACAAAAUUUCAGAAAGAUACAGAAAAAGUUUUCAUCAACAAUACGCUAACUGCUCUGGUUUUGGUACUCUUGGUUUUUUUUCAUCCCAUUCUCAUUGUAUCUUAAAAAAAAGGAAAAACUCUUCUCACUUCUUGCUUUUUGUCUCAAAUCAAAGGAAACUCACCAGAAAUCAAGUCUGUCAUGAGCGGCCAUAUUAAUUUUGAUGCCAAACGGAAACCGACGUGUGAAAAGGCUGACACAAUAAAGGAUCAGGAAAAAUGAUGUUGAAGGAAACUGUUUCUGAUGUUUGGUUGAUUAAAUCCAGCGCAAAGUAAAAGCUCUACCUCUAAUGGAACCUUAAUUGAGAGUGUGAUCUAAUCAACGUUUUCAGAUGAAAAAAAGCUUAUCAAUUGGAUUAUCAAUUUUGGCCUGAAAAUCAUCUCUAUUCAGCAUCAUAUUCCUCCAUUGAUGAUCAACUUGAUUAACCUGGUAAAGUCAAUGAACAACUAAAAACCCAGAGUUGAACCUGAUUAUGUUUAUCAAAUUAAUUGGAAAUAUUGAACACAAAAUGCUCUCCAUCAAAUGUUAUUCAAUAUAUUCAUCUGAUCAGAUUAUUCACCUUGUUAUCGGUGAACUAUCAAAAACAGAAGAUGCAAAAAGAUCAAAACUGGGAAAGAAAAGGAAAAAGUAAAAGGAACUUAAUUUCCUAAAUAAAUAUCAUAUCAAACCUGAUUGCAAAAAAGGAGAAAUGCUUCAUUCAUGGACCAAAGAAAGGGAAAACGCGAAAUCUUCUAAUAACCAUUCCAUUCUUAUCGUUAUUUCCUAUUGGGAGUGAAAACUCCCAUGAUAAUUGCUAUUGUAAAGUUUACUCUUCAUCUUAACUUUAUUUCAUUUCUCUGUCUUUUUGCUUUUCUUCCCAGUCUUUGGCAUUCUGUCGUUUCUUGGUUGGAGCAACUCAACUCGACUUAUCAAUUCAACUUGAAUCAUGAAGAGCCGGGAAACACUUCAUGCUGAUGGAUUAAAAUAUUUGGUCAACACUUGCUUAACGUCUGUGGAUCAAUGAUGUAGGUAAAGAAAGCUAACGGAUUCAAGGAUGAUUAAAGGGAAUGUAAACUGACAGAUGAAAGGUCCUGUUAUAUGAUGUCUUUAUCGUGGCGCAAAAGUGCAUCAAACAGAUUGAAGACUAACAAAGAUGAUGAAGGAAGAGAAGCUGAUAAAUACUCUCGCUGGAGUUUCCCCUCUUCUCGUAUUGAUGUUUGAGUUCCGGAGUGAAACCCAAGGGAAAAGCGUAUAUUGAAUUUUUGUGGAUCAAAAUGAAGAGCUCUCCUCUUAUACGGUUAUGUGGUUAAUGAGGAAGGCGUUUAAAGCCCAAUAACUCGUGUCAAAGCAUAAAUGGUCUCCAAAGACGACUUAAUCAAACCGUGAAAAACCUUUUUUUAUGCUCACUCAAUCUACUUUAUAACCAUGGAUAACAUGAGCGACAUCUUUUUUUUCAUCUUUAUCCUUCAUCAUCACCAUCAACAAAAACAUCAUCUCAAAUUUUUGUUGAUCAUUUCUUCAUGUUUGAUCAAUUGUUCCUUCAUCAUCAUUAUCAUUAUGGUUGUUAUGAAUGAGAAUCAUUUGGAAACUAAAUGAGCAAAACUAUCAUUUCGACGUUUGGUUCAAAGGGAAGGCAAAAUGUAAAGACAAAGUAAAUUUUAAAAAGCAAAUUGAAAGCAAAGGAGAAAAAAGAAAAGGCAAAAUGAUUGGAAAAUUUUCGUUAAUUUAACGUUGAUGUUCGUGAUUGACUGAAUGUUAAACAGGAAAAACGUUAAUGGGUAAAUUGCCCUCUGUGAGGUCGAGUUUAAAGUUGAUUAAGGUAAUAUCAAUUGAAUGGACGGGAGUAAAAAUGAUUACGGGAUAAAUUGAUGGAAAUGUCAUUUAUAUUAAAUGUAAUGAAACUGGUCAAAUCAUUGGAUGGAAACAUUUUUAUCAAAAUGGACAACUGAUUAAAAAAGAUUAGACCAAGAAGAUGGAGAGGAGAAGGAAAAGCGCAAAGUGUAACUGAAUGACAUUUUAGCUGUUAUACCAUUUGUUCAGUGUUUAUUUGUUUCACAAGGAGAUGGGAAGAUGAACAAAGAUGAUCAAAGAUGAUGAAAAGAUCAGCAAAGGAUGAAACACAGAAGACGAAUCCUAUAUAAUGUAAAGAUAAAGAUACGCCUAAGGCAUCAUCAUCAUCAACAACAACGCCAACAACAUCAACAACAAUAAUACAAGGAGUAACAUCAUGAAAUGACUAGAGCUGAUGGAAUAUGGAAAGAAAGAAAAAGAUGAUUAGAAUUACUGGGAAAAGAAGAGAUUCUGAUGCUUUUGCUGCUGCUGCUGUUGCUGUUGAUGAUGAUGAUCAUGAGGAUGGUGAUGAUGAUGGAACAGAAAGAAAAAAAUGAUUGCCGAGAAAAAAAAGCAUGAAAAUAAUGGUGAAUAGGAAAAGCUAAAAGACGAAAUGAGAUCAAAUCUUAUUGAGUCUCAUCAUUAUAACCAUGAUAACAUCCUCUUGUACCUUUUUUUAUGGCUAAAAUAAUUACCUAUAAGGUAACUUUAUCAUCAUCAUUUAGCUGACCAAUUCUGUUGGGUACGUUAUUGGUUCAUCAUCACUUAAAUGAUCAACCAACAACUGGAUUCGAUGCUUUUUUUGCUGCUGCUUGCUGUUAAUACUUGAGAUUCAAGUAAUUUUCUGGUACAAUAAAGGAAACACUGAAUGAUUAUACAUUUUUUAUGGUUAAAUACUGGAUCAGGAUAAUAACUUACCUGAUAAAGAUAUAAAGUAAACUCUCAAUCAGUUGACAAUUUUGAUGUUCAUCUCUUUACUCUACCUUUGACCUCAUUUUGGAUGGAUUGUGAUUCCCUCUAAAUCUCUCAGUAAAUCAAAUAAGCCGGAUGUGGGUCCUAAUCUAACCAUUUAAUUUGGUUAAUUUGUUCUUGAAACGGUUCACUUUUUUGUUGUCAUUCAAUUGUGGCCACAUGUACAUGGAUCAAUAGACCAUUUUGACUACAAAACGCCGUUGUAAUGUAAAUAUGAAUCAGUUUGGAUUAACAUUGGCAAAAGAUAACGAUGACACAAAGAGGAUGAAAGAGAGGAAGAAGAAGAAAAGUGUGAAACAUCUUUUUUAAAGUCUAAAUCUUGAUCUUGUCAAACUGUUCAACUCUUGAGCUUUUUUAUCCUCAUCCAACAUCAUCUUUUAAAAGAUAUUCAGUAUUUAUAGACUUACAAGUAUUAAGUUUUUUUUAUCCUAUGAAGCUUCUCGUGGUAAUUGAAUGAGACAAGUAAAGCGACUUGAAAGUUAUAUAAGAUGAUGAAUAUCUUGCAAACUUAAUAAUAGGUUAAAAUGGACAGACGCAUUUCCAUUCUAGAUUCAUGUUUACUGAUUGUCAAUUGGACAAAGAGAAGGACAAAAAAGCUUUAAACCAGCACCAAAAGUUAAGUUUCAAUGGAUACAAUCGGUUGGAUAAAUUUGAAAAGCAGUUAAACAUAAUACAAAUCAGAUAAACAAGAAGUCACACGAAGGUUUGAUGAUCAUUAUCAUCACCAUGAUCAUCUCUGAAUUGGCUUAUAUUUCAUGCUGAUUGCCAAGUACACUUUUCACACUCCAAUUGGUACGAUUUGUUGGUCCUUUUGCACUGUGUUCGAGUUACAAGUGACAUUGACGUGAAGAGGAACCAAAUGGAUGCAAAAAAACUAUGAAAAGAUAUCGGAUAACUUACUAGUUGAUACUACAAUUGAUUGUAAUUAUUUUACCUUUACACUUGAGUAGCAAUCUUUAUCUUUAUAAACCCAUGUGUAUACACACAUUUAUUUAUAAAUCAAUUGUUACUUGAGGUGUUAACAAGGAUGAAAGAGAGUCUGAAGAUGAUGAGAAAAGGUGAUGUUAAAGAUGUUAAUCUCUCUCAACUGUAUUGGCCUUUUAUUGAUUCAAAAACUGAUAAUAAUAGCAAUGGUAAUGAUAAUAUUAUGGGAGUGAUAUUAAUAGGACUUAUCAAUGAAUGAAGUGUUAAUAAUAUCACUGAAUCUUAUCAAAACGUUUUCUUUUCAUUUUUCUUCAGCUUUCCUUCAAACCUUAUUUUUUUGUGUUGAUUCAAUCUUGAACUGUAAAUCACAAUGAAACAACAACUAUUUUAAGGUUUGUUAACAUCAACUCUUGUCAUCCAUUGUAAUCAUUUAGUUUGGUUAACACGUAAUAAUAGAAGUGCGUUUAGUACGGAUUUUGGCCUUUAAACUGGCCUUAGGCAACCAAACCGUGAGUAUUAAUGCUGUAAAUUAUUGUAAUCAUUAGCAGCGUUUACUCGUUGUUGGUUACAUUUAUGAUUUGUAUUACAUCUUUACAAUGAAAAACCUUUUUUUUUCAUCUUCAACACUCAAUAUGUUACUUUGCAGGUCAUCAUUUUAACGGAAAUUAUUAUUUUCUCAAUAAUUUUUUCGCCUUCUUUUCGAUAUUUUUGAAAUGUGGAAAAACAAAAAUUCACAUUUCAACUCUGAUUGCUUCAACUUGCAGUAAUGUUAAAAGGUAUUUAUUGUUUACCUUUGGGCUAAAAUAUUGCCAUUAUGAUUAUACAAGUUGACAGUAAAUUUAAAGUAACUAUCAAUUCAUUAUCAGUUUCAUAACACUGUUAUUAACAUUACAAUUAGAUGCUGAUAAUUUAUAUCAUCAUCAGCAUCGCUAUUAUUAUCAUUAAUAUCGUUGUUUCAAGCAAGUGCAACAACAAAAAUUGAGACAUAAAUUGAAAGAUAAAUAUCGAUACAUAAAUUAGUCAAUUUUUCAGUCAAUAAACUCAAUUAAGUUUGAUGAAAAUUUCAAUUCAAAAUGCUUUUCAAGAUGAAUUUAAAUUUUCAAUGUUACGAUCAAGCAAAUGCUGCAAGCUUUGAAAGCUCAUACAAAAUGGAUAAAAGGUUUGAUCAUUGAAAUGUCGAGACAAUUGGAUGAAUGAAAGUCGACCAACAAAGACGAUUGAAAUGAUCAUUAUUAACAUUUCAUUGUUGGAAUCGCAAUCUUGCUGAGAAACAUUGAAAUUGUGAGAUAAAUACAGAUAAAUUGUAGAUAACAAGAAAAUAAAUGGUCUUUUCAAUGGAAACUUCAUUGUCUGGGAAUUGCUAAACAAUUAGCAAUUAUUAUCGAUUGCAGACAAUUAUUUGAAGGAAAACAUUCAACCUUUCAACUAUCUGAAUCAAUGUUGACUGUUUAUCAUUUACAGAAUUUUCUUGUUCGCAUUUCAUUUUUGUUUUUGUUUUACUCUGUUUAAACCUUGAAAUUUUCUGCUCAUUGCUCCUCCUUUAGUUUUGAAAAUGGCCUUAAGCUGUUGGUUGAAAGCGAAAUAAGUUGAUGUUAAAUCGUUGGUCUUAUUUCGUUGCAACGAAACCUUGAGGGUAACAGCAUUCAGCACUUAUCUUGCAAUUUAUCCAAUGAUUUUGGAAGAAGAAGAUUUUUCAUCUUUCAAAUAUUCAUUUGUGUUCACAAUUGAAACAAUUUGUUUCAAUAAUAUUUUGCUUUCCUUUUCCCUUUUUGAUAAAUCAGUUAUUAAUCGUGAUCAAUUGAUUGUUACGAUUAUUGUGAACUGAUUAUGAUUUGUUGCAUAAAAGGAACCAGAAAGAAAUAUAUAAUAUUAAUAACGAUAAUUAUGUUUAUAAAUAAUCGUAACCAUGAUAAAUGUUAAUGAUAAAGUAAUAACAAGUUGUUAGUUAAUAAUAGUUAAUAUUACUUGUUAUAUUUGUUAGUCUUUUAUAUUUACUUGAUUACUCUUCAGUUCGUAGCAUAUAAUGACCAUGAUAAUGCUAAUGAUAAUAGUUUGGGUUAAUAAAUUUAGAUAGUCAAACUAUCAAAAGAAAAGUGGUAAAAAAUUAAUCAAAUUUAAUUUAGAUUAAAUUACUUACCUGCCAAGAGCAGGAUUCCAAGAUUGAUUAAGGUUGCAAAUUAACAGAAAGCAAUUUGAUUGCCACUCAAUGAAACGUUUGCAGUUCAAUUAUUUUUGGUCAACUUUACUUUUGUUUUUGUAAAAUUAUCCUUUACUUGGCUGGUAACAACACAAUUUAAAACACACUCACAGAGUUUAUCAAUUUGCUGGUCAACAAUUUACAUUUAAUUGUCGCUGUUGAAUUUGUCCACAUUUAAUUUGUUUGGUUAAAGCUGAAGCUGGUUUGAGGAUAAGAUUUAAACUGAUCUUUCAAUCUUAUUGUUGUUCCGUUUAAUAAGAUGGUGAUGGUGGGUGAUGAAGAUGGUUAUUAUGAUGAACAGAUUAAUUGAAAGCUGAUGAUAAUUAAAAUGAAACACAUGAGAAAAGCUCUUGAGGUUGUUAUGUUCAUAAGAAUCAUAAGAAUAAUAUAAAUAUAAUAAUAAUAUAAUAUAUAUGAUUAUAAUGAUGAUUUCAUGGAAUCUGGAUGAACCACACUCACAGCAAGUAGACACACAGAGCAAAGAGCGAAAAAGUAGAGACAGUGAAAGACAGACACAGAUUCACAGUUACGAACAGAGUCUGUAUGGUUCAACCCUCGUCAUGACUCCCAAUAAGAUGAAUUCAAUGUUGACCUCACCUCCAAAGGCGUUUGUUGUCUCUGGUUGAACACAGAAGGGGCAAUAAAGGGAAAAGCAAAGCGCACAGGAACAAAAAAGAGAGAGAGAAAAGAAAGGCUUUUGGACAAAUGAUGAUGAUGAUGAUCGAGGAAAGAGAAAGAGGAACACAAUUUUCAUCAAGAGACAAAAAUGGCAAUAUCUUUGCUUUGCUUUACUUGUUUUUUGUUUGUUGCCUUAAGGGAGGUUCCUUAUUGUUAUCCUAUAUCUUUAUCAUCAUGAUCCUCAUCCUAAUCAAGUUCAGGUAUCGCGCAUCAUCCACUCACUCCCUCACUCAUUCACAUAAUCUUGAUCCUCCUUCUCCACCCACUCCUGCCACUGUCAAGUCUUACUCCAAGCCUUACUCUUAACCUUACUCUGACUCUGGUUAGUCUCAAUUUUACUCAAUGUUCACUGUACACUGAACCUUGCCAAGUCUCAUUGAAACUCACUAUAUCGAUCCAUCAUCGCCUUUCCUCUUAUUGGUUGCAUUUGUAUUUCUCAAGGCGGAGACUCUAACGGUACAUUGUUAUUGUACUUAUAUUAUCAUCAACUUCAUCAUUCUCAUCAUCUUUUACUUUCUUUGUAACUACUUUUCAUCUCUCUCUUUCUCUUCCUCUCUUCAACAUUAUAAGCUCAU